rnacentral:snoRNA from 2 species
CUGAGUCAUAUGAUGAUUAGAAGCAUAGUUCACAUGAAGUUAUUUGUGAUUUUUUUUUUUAGUCUUUCGCUCCUAUCUGAUGACUCUC